AUUGAACGCUGGCGGCAGGCCUAACACAUGCAAGUCGAACGAGUGGCGGACGGGUGAGUAAUGUCUGGGAAACUGCCUGGUGGCGGGGGAUAACUACUGGAAACGGUAGCUAAUACCGCAUACCAUCGGAUGUGCCCAGAUGGGAUUAGCUAGUAGGUGGGGUAAAGGCUCACCUAGGCAACGAUCCCUAGCUGGUCUGAGAGGAUGACCAGCCACACUGGAACUGAGACACGGUCCAGACUCCUACGGGAGGCAGCAGUGGGGAAUAUUGGACAAUGGGCGCAAGCCUGAUGCAGCCAUGCCGCGUGUGUGAAGAAGGCCUUCGGGUUGUAAAGCACUUUCGGCGGGGAGGCGUUACCCGCAGAAGAAGCACCGGCUAACUACGUGCCAGCAGACGCGGUAAUAC
rnacentral:rRNA from 1 species